UACGUAGGGAGCAAGCGUUGUCCGGAUUUAUUGGGCGUAAAGAGCUCGUAGGCGGUGUGUCGCGUCGGCCGUGAAAACCUGGGGCUCAACUCUGGGCGUGCGGUCGAUACGGGCAUCACUUGAGUUCGGCAGGGGAGACUGGAAUUCCUGGUGUAGCGGUGAAAUGCGCAGAUAUCAGGAGGAACACCGGUGGCGAAGGCGGGUCUCUGGGCCGAUACUGACGCUGAGGAGCGAAAGCAUGGGGAGCGAACAGG
rnacentral:rRNA from 1 species